rfam:Mastigocoleus testarum BC008 Contig-10, whole genome shotgun sequence.
UGGUAGAUGCACCCUGAUAAUCCAUUCCCCUUGCUGGCUCAAACUGGCCCGGGGAUUUUUUU